GACGGGUAUCCGGCCUGAGAGGGUGAACGGACACACUGGAACUGAGACACGGUCCAGACUCCUACGGGAGGCAGCAGUAGGGAAUAUUGCUCAAUGGGGGAAACCCUGAAGCAGCAACGCCGCGUGGAGGAUGAAGGUUUUCGGAUUGUAAACUCCUUUUGUUAGAGAAGAUAAUGACGGUAUCUAACGAAUAAGCACCGGCUAACUCCGUGCCAGCAGCCGCGGUAAUACGGAGGGUGCAAGCGUUACUCGGAAUCACUGGGCGUAAAGAGCGCGCAGGCGGAAUAGCAAGUCAGAUGUGAAAUCCUAUGGCUUAACCAUAGAACUGCAUUUGAAACUGUUAUUCUA
rnacentral:rRNA from 1 species